rnacentral:rRNA from 1 species
UACGUAGGGUGCAAGCGUUAAUCGGAAUUACUGGGCGUAAAGCGUGCGCAGGCGGUUUUGUAAGUCUGAUGUGAAAUCCCCGGGCCCAACCUGGGAAUUGCAUUGGAGACUGCAAGGCUAGAAUCUGGCAGAGGGGGGUAGAAUUCCACGUGUAGCAGUGAAAUGCGUAGAGAUGUGGAGGAACACCGAUGGCGAAGGCAGCCCCCUGGGUCAAGAUUGACGCUCAUGCACGAAAGCGUGGGGAGCAAACAGG